CAACCGCCGAGGUGGAGCUAUCUCUAAAACCGUUCUCAGUUCGGAUUGUAGGCUGCAACUCGCCUACAUGAAGCUGGAAUCGCUAGUAAUCGCGGAUCAGCAUGCCGCGGUGAAUACGUUCCCGGGCCUUGUACACACCGCCCGUCACACCACGAGAGUUUGUAACACCCGAAGUCGGUGGGGUAACCUUUUGGAGCCAGCCGCCUAAGGUGGGACAGAUGAUUGGGGUGAAGUCGUAACAAGGUAGCCGUAUAUUGGGCUGUUAGGGCCGAACCAAAUGUUUUUGUCCCUGUUAGGCGGCCUAAUCCUAAGUACCCCCCCCCCGAUUUCGAUU
rnacentral:rRNA from 1 species